rnacentral:rRNA from 1 species
UACGGGGGGAGCAAGCGUUGUUCGGAAUUACUGGGCGUAAAGCGCACGUAGGCGGCUUUGUAAGUUAGAGGUGAAAGCCCGGGGCUCAACUCCGGAAUUGCCUUUAAGACUGCAUCGCUAGAAUUGUGGAGAGGUAAGUGGAAUUCCGAGUGUAGAGGUGAAAUUCGUAGAUAUUCGGAAGAACACCAGUGGCGAGGGCGGCCUGCUGGGCAGUGGCUGACGCUGAGGCGCGACAGCGUGGGGAGCAAACAGG